UACGUAGGCAGCAAGCGUUGUUCGGAGUUACUGGGCGUAAAGGGUGUGUAGGCGGUUCUUUAAGUUUGGUGUGAAAUCUCCCGGCUCAACUGGGAGGGUGCGCCGAAUACUGAGGGACUAGAGUACGGGAGAGGAAAGUGGAAUUCCUGGUGUAGCGGUGAAAUGCGCAGAUAUCAGGAGGAACACCAGUGGCGAAGGCGGCUCUCUGGGCAGAUACUGACGCUGAGACGCGAAAGCAUGGGGAGCAAACAGG
rnacentral:rRNA from 1 species